UCUCCAAUAGAUAAACAACUUCCGAAAGGAGAAUUUGCUGGACUGCGAAUAACUGUCGCUGGCUCCUUGAAAACUGAAAUCAUUCAGCAAAGUAAAGAGGAAGCAGUGGAGGAAUAAAGAUACAGAUUGUUGUUGUUUUUUUUUUACAGUGAUUCCUUUUCCUUCUGCUAGCUGAUUUUCCCUGCUUUUGAUGUGUUCAUCAAGAAGGAGUCACAGGAGUAGCGCAGGAAGCAGUAGAUCUCCUCGGCUCUGGAUCGACUCAUACAGCCUCCCUUCUGUAUGGCUUCAAUGGAGCUGCAGGAGGAGCACAAAAGGGGAAAGGACACUGUUCAAAGAGUGAAAAAGGAGCUGACUACAUGUUUGCCCGUGAUGUACACACACUUCCUUUACCUGUUUAUGAGUUGGCCGAUGGAGCUGAAGUUGUGGCACAUGCUGAGGGCAUGGACGUAGUUGACUGAGGGCAGGCUGAGGUAUAGCUGCAGGGCCUGCUGCCUGUGCGGCCCUUUGACCUCCAUUGGUACAGCGAUGGCCUGACCUUUACGCUGCUCCAGCCGGGCCAGGUCUGCCAGCAGGCCGGCACUCUGCUCAGCGCCGUCGCUCCACAGCAGCCGCACCCCCGUAUGCACCAGAGCCGUCAGAGUGCUGUCAUAGCAACGUGUUCGCUGAAACGGACGUGACACCUCACCUGUGAGGGGGACAAUUAUCAUAAGCAGCAGUGCUGAUCAAAUCAACAGACUGACUGACCUGGCUUGGUCCGGUCCUUCUCCACUAUGAGACAAACGCGCUCGAACAACCCCUGCAGGCUGUUCACUCUCUCAGCCAAUCGCUUCCGGUUCUGCGUCGCCGCCAAAUCUGAUUGGCUGUGCCUCUCCACUGCCGUACGGUUGCUGACGAUGAAGUAGCUGCCGUCCAGUGAGCAGACGUGGAGGGUGGCCGUGUGGCGCUGGCGGAGGCUGGUCAUCAGCUCCACUCCGCCACUGAGGCAGCGGCUGUCCACCAGGAUGCAAACGGUGCCGGGCGGAGCGGGAGGCUCACUGACAGAUGAACUCUGAGCUGAGGACGUCUGUGGCACUGAUGUGGAGGCAGUGAGGGCCUGGACCUGGAGGGAAACCUCAAUGUAGCUUUAUUGACUUAUAAGAAUGUUUUAGGGAUCACGUGUAGGGUAUCCCUUCUAACACAUGGUAUAACCCAUAAGCGUGUGUGUAUGUGUCAUGUUUGCUCAUACCUGGGGAUGUUUCUUGGAGGAUACCGGCAGAUCUGACUCUGCAAAGUCUAGUUCAUCAGAGAGCAAAUGCUGAUUUUCUAAUCUCCGGCGAUACCUGCAGGAGAAAGAAAAUGAUUCUCUAGUGGUUGUUGAACGUUUCCUCAAUGUUCCCUGCACAAUAAUCAAAAACUCACCUUAACUUUUUCUAUCGUUGUUUUUUUAUUUAAUCAUUACAUUUGUAGUUCAUGUUCAAAAAGUAUAUUGUUUUCCUUGUAAAGAGACCAUGAUAUUCCCUGCUUUUGUUCAACAUUUUUGGCAACAUAACAGUUCAAUAUGGUCAUGCUAAUAAAGCUAUUUGAAUUGAA